UCGCCUACAUGAUCUUCCGCAGCAAGCGCUCCUCCUCCUCCACCGCCGCCGCCGCCGCCGCUCCCUCCUCCUCCUUCUCCAAGCAGACGUAGGACCAAGGGCCUCAUCUGAUACCUCAAUUUCCGAUCUCACCAACUGCCGCUGCUGCUGCUUCAACAUCGUCGUCGUCUCUCGUUAAGGGUUUUUACGGCAGCCAUUCAUAUUCAAUCCAAUCCAUGUAGUACUAUUGUACUAAUACUAGAAGAACAAGUCAAUCGAUCAUCUGUUUUGCUCUGCUCACACCUCAUCAAAGAGAGAGAGAAAAAAAAGGUUGAUUAUUACUAGUAGUAUCAACUAA